UGGUGGACAGGUGUGAAACAAGAGAAAAUCCCCUGGGCCUGGGAAUUUCAGAGUUUGUGAUCGUGUGCGUUGUUGUUGAUGCUACUUUGUGUGAGUGGAGGAUCUGGAGAGUGAGAGAGUUCGAUGAACGAAAGGUGGAUUUGUGCAGUGAAUCAAAAAAUGUGAUUUGCAGGAAGUGAAUGAGAGUCAGAGAGAAACUGAGAUAAAAAAAUCAGAGAGUUUUGAGAGUGAGAAAAAAAUUGUAGAAUGAAAAAUGCUCCUGAAGAUUGCAGGGAAUGUUGAAUAUAUAGGUUUCAUAGUUAGUUAGAAAUUCAGCUCAAAUUUGAUCUGAAAUUCACUACAAAUUAAUUAGUUUGUUAGAAAUGAAAAUUGUCAGUUAGAAAUUUGUUAGGAAAUUCAAAUUCAAUUUGGUGAAUUACAAGUGAAUUUGGUUUCAAUUUCCUUUUCAUUUCGUUUUGGUAUGUGGAGAUUCAAACUGUUGUUAAUUCUAUUAAUUAUAGUGAAGUUAUUCUGAUGUUUUUGUUCAAAAAUGCAAGAUGGUGGAAUGUCGCCCAACAAAAGUCGAACCAAAGGGAUAAGCUUGAAUUAAAUCUGUCAUUGUAUUUUUUUGAAGGUUGAUAUUCAUACAGAAGAUGAUCUAUCUCCUUCACAGGGCUGCAUUCCAUGUCGCCAAAAGUUUCUUGAUAUGCAAGACCUAUUUCAAGGGCUGUCAAAUGGAAAGGCUUGUGAAUUUUGCUUGCAUUUGGAAAUUUGUAUUGAAGAGUGGAAUUGGCUUGUUGAAGGUUGCUUGAAUGCAUUGUUUAUGGACAAUGGAUUGCUUGGAAUUUUGGUUUUUUUUGUUGUAAAUCUUGUGAUAAAUUGUGUGUUGUAAUGUGAUUGGAAUUGAAUAAUGGGAAUGUUUAUGGUUGAGUGACAAAUGGUUAUGUAAAGCAAAUAGAAAUUGUCUUGUAACAUGUAUGGUUGAAUGUACCAUGGUAUUUGUUUGAAUGGAAAUUGAAUGGUUGAUGA